UGCCCCCUUGACCGGCGUUGACCCGAUCAGCUACUCCAAAAUUCUUGGGCGGAAUGCCUUCAUCGGCUAUCCUCAUUAUUAAACCCCUGUUGUUGAAGGGAUUCUCCCUUGAGCCCCCUUCAAAGCGACGGGAACCCACGGCGGCACGACCGGAGAACUCGCAGACUGCUGUUCUCCUCCUUGCACCCUUCCAAGAUCGUGGCAUCCUCUUGAGAUUGGCCUCC
rnacentral:lncRNA from 1 species